rnacentral:rRNA from 1 species
GAUGAACGCUGGCGGCGUGCCUAAUACAUGCAAGUCGAGCGCGACUGAUUACACCGUCCUUCUGGACACCGUAAUCAUCGAGCGGCGGACGGGUGAGUAACACGUGGGCAACCUACCCUUAAGACUGGGAUAACCGCGGGAAACCGUGGCUAAUACCAGAUAAUACUUUUAUACAACAGUAAAGAAGUUGAAAGAUGGAUUUCUAUCACUUAAGGAUGGGCCUGCGGCGCAUUAGCUAGUUGGUAAGGUAACGGCUUACCAAGGCGACGAUGCGUAGCCGACCUGAGAGGGUGAUCGGCCACACUGGAACUGAGACACGGUCCAGACUCCUACGGGAGGCAGCAGUAGGGAAUCUUCCGCAAUGGACGCAAGUCUGACGGAGCAACGCCGCGUGAGUGAUGAAGGUUUUCGGAUCGUAAAGCUCUGUUGCCAGGGACGAACGGCCAGGAGAGUAACUGCUC